rnacentral:rRNA from 1 species
AUUGAACGCUGACGGCAGGCUUAACACAUGCAAGUCGAGCGGGGUGAUGGUGCUUGCACUAUCACUUAGCGGCGGACGGGUGAGUAAUGCUUAGGAAUCUGCCUAUUAGUGGGGGACAACAUCUCGAAAGGGAUGCUAAUACCGCAUACGUCCUACGGGAGAAAGCAGGGGAUCACUUGUGACCUUGCGCUAAGAGAUGAGCCUAAGUCGGAUUAGCUAGUUGGUGGGGUAAAGGCCUACCAAGGCGACGAUCUGUAGCGGGUCUGAGGGGAUGAUCCGCCACACUGGGACUGAGACACGGCCCAGACUCCUACGGGAGGCAGCAGUGGGGAAUAUUGGACAAUGGGGGGAACCCUGAUCCAGCCAUGCCGCGUGUGUGAAGAAGGCCUUAUGGUUGUAAAGCACUUUAAGCGAGGAGGAGGCUCUUUUGGUUAAUACCCAAGAUGAGUGGACGUUACUCGCAGAAUAAGCACCGGCUAACUCUGUGCCAGCAGCCGCAGUAA